AUGGAGAUCAGGCCAAUGGUAGCCCUGCGUGCUGCCCUAGUAGGCGGUGUAGCUGCAUUCGCAAAGAUCGCCGGGGCGAUGAAAGCUGCAGGCGGCGUGAAGGUUGGUGCGGCAGCUGCAGCCAUGACAGCCGCAGCGACGGCUGCCGUAUCAGGAAAAGACGCGGGUAAUGAUAACCAAAAGCCGGGGGCAACAAAAUGA
rnacentral:rRNA from 1 species